rnacentral:sRNA from 1 species
CCCUAGCCCUGAUAGAAGGGUAAAUCCUUUUGUGCCGGGGUUCGGCACAAAAGAUUGAAACGGAUAGCAGGAAUAAGC